UUUCAGCUGCAGUGCUACACACAUCUCUUUUGGAGUUUUUCCUUACAGUUGAUUUUUAUAGUGUCAGAGUUUUUAGCGGUGUGUGCGGAGCGCCUUUGGUUCAGUAGGACAGCGGCUUGCAGCACGAGCUGGUUACCGAGGACUACUCCAUCAGCUGCCGGUACCAGUGGUUAACAGCCUCCCGGCCGAAACACGAGCUCGUCACUUCAGCUGGGACUUUAACAGGCCUACCCUAUUGCAAACAUGGCAAAUAACGUUAUCUGGCUGCUCAUGCCUAUGCUCUUUAUGUGGGCGAAGGGGAACAUUUUCAACGAUUACAUCAGGCAAGCCUAUCGAGAUGAGGCCAGAAUUGAGGACAACAUUAUUCCCAGAACGAACCUGAACGAACUCAGUAGUUUGCUCACCAAAGGAUGUGGAGGCAUUGAUGCCGACAUUGUCUUUGUGCUGGACAACUCCGCCAGUAUCUGGGCUCCGGACUUCAAGAAACAGACGGCCUUCGUCAGGGAUUUCGUCAGUGUCUUCAACAUCGGCCCAAAGAGCGUGCGCGUGGCGGUCAUAACAUUCGGUGACAGGGUCUACAGUCGACACAGCUUCCUUCUGUGGAAAUACAAGAACGAGAAGGACGUCAAAUCUGCCGUCAUGGAUAUACCCUACAUGGCCGGUGUACAAACGCGCACGGACAAGGCCCUGGAGUACCUAAAGAAAGUUGUCUUCCGGAAGAUGAGAAAGGGGGUGGAGCAUAUUGUCAUAGUGAUGACGGACGGUGACUCUCUCUAUCCAAUGAGAACGCACCGUUCCGCUCGUUACCUGAAGCACAUUGGCGUCACGCUGUACGCUAUUGGCGUCGGAUUCAGCGUCUCUCUUAAGGAACUCAAAUCCAUAGCUUCUAGCGCUGAGGGGAUUUUCCGGGUGGACAACUUCGAUGCCUUACAGAAUAUCAAGAAACAGCUAGGAGUACAGAUCUGUCCAGCGUCGUCUGGGAACGAGUUUGACGAACUCCCAAAGGUAACAACGGUCAAACAGAAAGUAACCACAACUACGACUACCCGUAGGCCCACAACGACGAUCCCGACGACUGUGCCAACGACACCAGUGCCCACAAUUCCCCCUUGUGGGCUGGCGGAUCCGGCCGACAUUAACUUCGUUUGCGACGCCGUCCAGAUGGACGCAGCGACGAAUCGAGACGUUAAGGAGAUCGUGAAAGGCUUGGUGAUGACGGAGGAGAUGCAACACGAAGGCAUGCAGGUUGCGUUAAUCACCAGCGAGUGUCCAGAAUUGCCCAGCGUCCCUUUCUCCGAAUACCAGAGCGACAACGUGACAAAGUUCCCAGAGGUGUUUGAUGACGUCCAUUACCAGACGUACGGUGACCUAAUCGAGAUUCUCGAGAAUGACGGCUUCUCUGAGAGCAGGGGAGGGCGUGAGUCCGCCAGGCAUGUCGGCGUAGUCAUUCUCUCACAAGAGCCCGAUGACGCCGAGGACGUCAUCAUCAAGGCGGACAAGGCGAAGCGCAGCGGUGUCGAGCUCUUCGCUGUGGGAUUGAACAAGAAGGUCAGAAGAAUGGUGCUGGAGCAAAUCGCCAGUGAACCCAAGAGAGAUCAUGUGAUCAUGAUUGGUAGCCGAGGAGAGGUGGCAGAGGUCGGACCUAGAAUAGCGAAGACAUUGUGUCCACAUGGCAGUAAUGAAGUCAUUCAAAAAUCCUGACUGGGGAAAAAGUGAAUACUUAAAUGUUCCUAUGGGCCACCUUCAUGCUAUUUUGGCGCAAGACUUGAGUUCCUGAAUUAAAAUCCUGAAGCACCUACCAGUGCUAACAAAAGCCACCUGACAAUGGAUCUUACCACUAUCAACGGCAUAUUCAGAACGAGGCUCAUGGGAUUCUAUUACCACUCGUGCGUCUCUCUACGUGUUUUCACUGUAGCCUAUAUUACAUAACCAAUGUACUAGUUCGGUGACAAACUUCUUCAAGACGAUAUCAAUGAAAGUGGCAUUAAGAAUUAAAGGACAGUACCGUGGAUUUACCCAGAACGAGGCCAGUAUCAGUAGAGGCCCAUGAAAAUUAUGUUAAGUCACCCAUGGGUAAAAGGAUGAUUGGUUUUGUGCCCUGUCACUGACAUAUAAUGUAUGUAUAUAAACAUAUGGCGAAGCAGUUUUUUUAGUUCAUUUUCCUUGCUGUAUAUGUUUGCUUCUGUCUUUCGUACAUGACGCCUAAUGAGUAAUAAUAGAUGUGGCCAAUUCAUAUACAAUGCUGCUGAAUUGUGUACCUCUAUAUAUGACGAAUUCAAAUUCUAUAUCCACAACGUAAACAUAAAAAAAGUCUGCCAUGGCAAUCAUUUGCCAUUGGUUUCGGGUAACUUUUUGCCCACAGCGAACUCAAAGAUGCCAGGCAUCGCAUAGCAGCGCUUUAUUUGACACAAUCCAGGGCUUAAAUUGUUCAUUAAAUCCUGACGUAGGCGACAAGCCUUGCAGACGACAAUCCGAGGUCUGUAGAUGUUAUAUUCCGGUAACGGAUUCUCUACGGAAGUUCACGUCAAAAACGUUUAGAUGUACCGAUUAUCUCUGAGUGAGAGAGUCGUAUAGAGCUGCCACCUGGUGGACAAAUGUGAUACGAAGAUAUACGUUUGCAGGCUUGUGACCUGUCUAAAAGAAUUUAUUGAAUGCAUAUUUUUAUUCUACAUAAAAGCGCUUUUGUUAUAUGUUUAUACUUUAUUACCUCUUGUACAAAUGUUGAACAAGACGAUGUAAUCAAAAUAAAAGAAAUUCUCGUAUAAGA